rnacentral:misc_RNA from 1 species
GGGGGGGUGUGGUAUAUUCAUAAACCAUACAUCACCAUACUUCAAAUGCAAAAACUAUUAUCCAUACAACUCACAUAAACUUCAUUAACAUGUGGAGUUAAUUACUUUAUUUAUAAAUAUAUUACAAAAAAGAAAAAGAAAAAAAAAAACUGGAUCAUACUCAAUUCAGUUAAGAUCAAUACCAAUGCCGAUCUUCAUUUCAUCACAAUAAUCAAAGCAUAAACAAGAAUUGAAGAACAUUAUUAUAGAGACAAAUAUGUAAAAUCUAUGUGUAAAUCAAUAAGUACCCGGUGCAAGGAUGGAUGACAGAGGCUAAAUGGGGCAUUUCUCUGAAGAAAUGAAACCCUAAAUCCUUUAUCCUUUCCCUUUUAGAGAUGGAAGAGCAAUAAAGAGGGUACCGGAUAGGGUACCCAUUAAAUUAAAGAUAUCCAAACCCGAACCUGAUUAUAUAGAAAAAUCUGAAUCUGUCCGAAACCCGAUUAGAAUUACCUAUUACUACCCACACCCAUCUCAAGCCCAUUUACUACUAUCUGCAUACUACUCGAACCCGCCCGAACCCUACUUUUCACUUAAUCAGAUGAAACAGAUAAAAUAACAUGCUAACCAAAAUUAAUCAGAUAAAACAGCACAAUUUUGAAUACAGAGAACUUAUAAAUAAAAUCAUUCUAAACAAUCAAAUAAAAUUGGUUUGAAUUGAUUUUUCAGUCUCAAUCCUAAUAGGGAGCUUGGCAAUCUUAUGAUUAAAUAUGCAUUUCAUGCAUUUUGACGAGCUGGGGAGUCUUUUGCAUUCUGAAUGCAUUUUGAAGACACGUUCCUUUGCAAAAUCCUUUAAGGUGUUUCUUAAUUCUAUUUUUCUCAAAGCAAAAUUCUUAAAAGAAGAGUCGCAUUCCCAAUGCAGAUACAAUUGCCAAUAAUGUCUACUACUAUCAUACCAAGUGUCAGAACCUCCAGCAGCAAAAAUUAAUCUCUCUCCCAUCCAAGACAAACAGAGAAGAAAACAGAAAACAGACAAUGAAUCAUGCUUGUGCAGGGAUCUAUUAAAUUAAUACCCAAAUUUUAAGAAAAGAAAAGAAAAGAGAAAAAAAAAAACUCUCAAAAUUAAAGGGCACAAAAUGCAGCUAGUUUGAGCAGUAUAUAGAACUAGAACCUCAAAAAUUAAAGAAAGAAAUGAUUUACAUAGAUCUACAACACACAGAUUUUAGCAGUAAACUAGAACAAAGCCAAAAUAUAUAGAACUAAAAAAAUUAAUUUGCAAGCAAAAAAAAAUACAAGAUUUGUAAAUAAAACCCACAGAUAGCAGCAAGUUGAUGAGGUUGAGGAGCAGCUGUCCUGUGCGGAGGCGGGCUAAGGGAGAGGAAGGGAUGAGGGAUUCUGUGCAGAGGCGUAGACAAUGAAUCAGUGAGUGACUCGGACUAGCGAGAAAGAGAUAAGAGGGAAGGGAACUGCUAAGUGCUGACUGCUGAGGGUUUAGGGUUUAGAACACUUUGAC